GAAAAUGGAAGAAUGAAUUAACGAUGAGAAAGAGAGGAGUUUUUUUUCCCUGAACAUGCUUUUUUUUUUGGAAGAUAGUACACGUUCCUCUCUUGGGGUAAUAGAAUAACUCUUGGGUUAGUUACUCAAUUUCUUGUUGCCCAAUUUUCAUACCACUAUAAAGACACACACACUCAAUCUUACGAAGACGGAUGAAAAAGGGAAAAAGGCAGAAAAGGAAACAAGAAAGGAUAAAAUGGAAUUUGUAAUCUCUUUUUCUUCCUCCAUUAAUGCAGCUUCACGGUAGUACACAAAGCAGCCAUAAACGAUCCCCUGCUAAAUUUCAUCUUCUUCUUCUACACUUCAAGGACACACCUGAAGAUCUUCAGCUAAAACAAGAGAGCUCCCUAUCACUGCUCCCUCUCCACACCUUCUACGCUAUUGCUUCUCCUUCUCCGGUCAAAAUCCGGCAACCACAUGAACCAGUAGCCAUACGCACAGACCUAAGAAAGGAUCGAACAAAGCUUCUUUCAUAAAAGAAAUUCAGUUGCUGCUUUGUUUAAGCUUUCCAAGUAUGACCUGAGGUUUUCGGCGAGUUUCGAGCGCAAGUCGGAGUCGAAGUUCGCGGUUUUUGUUCGAGUUGUUUGUUGUUUCAAGCUUUGAUUAAGGCUAUGGUUCCAUUCUGUUCAUGUAAUUGCCGGAUUUAGUUUAUCCAUCAAGUGGAUAUUUCAGGUUCAUUUUUUUUCCUCUGUUAUUUGUGGUAGUUGUGUCGUAUGUUUCAUAGUUAAAAUGGAGGAAGCUUAUGUUUGAUUGUUUUGACUCAAUUUGUGUGAAUAUUGUGUUGAUGUAAAUUUUUAGCAAAAUAUUUUAACUCGGCGUAGAUUUCUUUCUGUUCUUGAGAUCGGAUUUGUAGUGGACUUUGUUUUCAAACUCAUCCUUUGGUCUGCCAUCAUGAGAUUUCAAAAAAUGAUAAUUUCUUAUCUUGUUUUAGUUGUGAUAUUGUCAAAUAGAUCAGUUAUUGACAGUAUAUCAAUGAAAUAGGCAUAUGUUGGGCUGCGAUUUCUGCAUCUCGUCUGUAAGUUCAUUCACAAUUUGAGUUCAACAAAGUGAAGCUCCCCUAAUUUAGUAAAAAUAGCAUUUUAGUUAAUUGAAUACCAAGGCGUUUUGGCAUGGUUUGUAGUUUAAGGGAUAUUAUGUACCAAUUGUGGGUGAAUAUACUGUGUUUUGUCAUAGAACUUGUGUUUGGUUCUUUGGCUAAUCCUCACAGGUUAAGUGAAGUAAUAUAUGAUUGUACAAUUAUUUA
rnacentral:lncRNA from 1 species